rnacentral:misc_RNA from 1 species
UCCUGGUUAACCCAGGCAGUCUCAUUAGAGUUCCUAACUUAAUAUUGGCAACUAAUGAUAAGGGUUGCGCUCGUUGCGGGACUUAACCCAACACCUCACGGCACGAGCUGACGACAGCCAUGCAGCACCUGUGCAGCAGUCCAAAGGAAAUACCCAUCUCUGAGUACGUCUACUGCAUGUCAAGCCUGGGUAAGGUUCUUCGCGUUGCAUCGAAUUAAACCACAUGCUCCACUGCUUGUGCGGGUCCCCGUCAAUUCUUUUGAGUUUCAGCCUUGCGACUGUACUCCCCAGGCGGUAUACUUAACGCGUUAGCUACGGCACAACUAGGGUUGAGUCCAGUUACACCAAGUAUACAUCGUUUACGGCAAGGACUAC